CUUUCUGUAGAAUCCCCUAGAGCACAGCUCCUCAACAUGGAUUGGACCUGGAGGAUUCUCUUCUUAGUGGCAGUUCUGAAAAGUGCCCAUGGCGAGGUGCAGUUGGUGCAGUCUGGAGCUGAGCUGAAGAAGCCUGGGACCUCAGUGAAGGUCACCUGCAAGGCUUCUGGGUAUACCUUCACAAGCUAUCUUAUGCACUGGGUGCGACAGACCCCUGGACAAGGACUAGAAUGGAUUGGUUGGGUCUACCCUAGUGAUGGUGAUACUAGCUAUGCUCAGAAGUUCCAGGGCAGAGCCACCCUCACUGCUGACGAGUCCUCCAGCAUGGCCUACAUGGAGCUGAGCAGUUUGAAGUCUGAGGACACGGCUGUGUAUUACUGUGCGAGAGACACAGUGUGGUGA